rnacentral:rRNA from 1 species
UGAACGCUGGCGGCAGGCCUAACACAUGCAAGUCGAACGGUAGCAGGAUUAGCUUGCUAAUCGCUGACGAGUGGCGGACGGGUGAGUAAUGCUUGGGAACUUGCCUUUGCGAGGGGGAUAACAGUUGGAAACGACUGCUAAUACCGCAUAAUGUCUUCGGACCAAACGGGGCUUAGGCUCCGGCGCAAAGAGAGGCCCAAGUGAGAUUAGCUAGUUGGUAAGGUAAAGGCUUACCAAGGCAACGAUCUCUANCUGUUCUGAGAGGAAGAUCANCCACACUGGGACUGANACACGGCCCAAACUCCUACGGGAGGCAGCAGUGGGGAAUAUUGCACAAUGGGGGAAACCCUGAUGCANCCAUGCCGCGUGUGUGAAGAAGGCCUUCGGGUUGUAAAGCACUUUCAGUUGUGAGGAAAAGUUNGUAGUUAAUACCUGCUAGCCGUGACGUUAACAACAGAAGAAGCACCGGCUAACUUCGUGCCANCAGCCGCGGUAAUACGGAGGGUGCNAGCGUUAAUCGGAAUUACUGGGCGUAAAGCGCACCCCAGGCGGUUUGUUAAGCUANAUGUGAAACCCCGGGCUNAACCUGGGAUGGUCAUUUAAAACUGGCAAACUAAAAUCUUGGAGAGGGGAGUGGAAUUCC